CGAACGGGUGAGUAACGCGUGAGGAACCUGCCUCAAAGAGGGGGACAACAGUUGGAAACGACUGUUAAUACCGCAUAAGCCCACGGCUCGGCAUCGAGCAGAGGGAAAAGGAGCAAUCCGCUUUGAGAUGGCCUCGCGUCCGAUUAGCUAGUUGGUGAGGUAACGGCCCACCAAGGCGACGAUCGGUAGCCGGACUGGGAGGUUGAACGGCCACAUUGGGACUGAGACACGGCCCAG
rnacentral:rRNA from 1 species